rnacentral:rRNA from 1 species
AAUGAACGCUGGCGGCAGGCCUAACACAUGCAAGUCGAACGGAUCCUUCGGGAUUAGUGGCGGACGGGUGAGUAACGCGUGGGAACAUACCCUUUGGUACGGAAUAGCCUCGGGAAACUGGGAGUAAUACCGUAUGUGGUCGAGAGACGAAAGAUUUAUCGCCAAAGGAUUGGCCCGCGUUGGAUUAGGUAGUUGGUGGGGUAAUGGCCUACCAAGCCGACGAUCCAUAGCUGGUUUGAGAGGAUGAUCAGCCACACUGGGACUGAGACACGGCCCAGACUCCUACGGGAGGCAGCAGUGGGGAAUCUUAGACUAUGGGGGAAACCCUGAUCUAGCCAUGCCGCGUGAUCGAUGAAGGCCUUAGGGUUGUAAAGAUCUUUCAGGUGGGAAGAUAAUGACUGUACCAUCAGAAGAAGCCCCGGCUAACUCCGUGCCAGCCGCCGCAGUAACAC